GCUUGAAACGAAAUGAGUGGAGUUGAACGACGCCCUGUUUAUCGAAACUACAUCAAUCAACUUUUCAACUAUGCAGGAUUUCAAAAUGUACAAGGCAUCAUAUCAAAGAUUGCAUAUGCCCGAAAGAAGGACAAAUCCAAUUUGGCUCUCUGGAUGUAUGGAAAGCUCUCAACCUUCCAGAAAAGGACUGUUCAAAGGAACACUUAAAUCCCUCCGACAGACAAAGAUAACCUCUCUAGGCCCUCUGGUGGUGACGUAUAAGUGCUUUCUCAGUACUUUC